rnacentral:rRNA from 1 species
GUCCUAGCCCUAAACGAUCAGGACUUGGGGUGCCACCCGUUCGGGUGUCGUCCCGGAGCUAACGCGUUAAGUCCUGCACCUGGGGAGUACGGUCGCAAGACUGAAACUCAAAGGAAUUGACGGGGGCCCGCACAAGCGGUGGAACAUGUGGUUCAAUUCGACGCUACGCGAGUAACCUUACCUGGGCUCGAAAUGCUUCGGACCAGCUGUAGAAAUACGGCCUUCCCGCAAGGGACCGGAGUAUAGGCGCUGCAUGGCUGUCGU